CUUAGACAGGCACACACAACACACUGACAUACUGUAGAUGUGUGCACACAAGCAAAAGCACACACACACACUUGCAGAUCAGGUUUCAUUGUGUCUGUGCAGUCCACAAACACACACACACACACGCACACAAACACACAGGGAGGUCUGUGUAGAGGCAGCACUGUUGGCCAACAUGCUAUCAAGUUUCAGUUUCAUUUUCUGUGCAUUCAUGGUCAGGAUUUACACAAUGAAAUUCAACAUAAAUCGUGAAUGCAGAAGAUUAUUCAUUUUUUUAUUCUGUUACAAGAGAGAAAAUGUGUUUUUAUGUGAUAGAACUGAAGAAUAAGAUGAUAAUGUGCAUAAACACUCAAAGACAAAAAGACACUCCUACUGCCAACAGCCAUUAGCUCCUCUUAAUAUAUUAUUUUAUGACAUAAGUAUGUGAUGAUUCAAAUAUAGAGGGAAUUAAAGUGCUUUUUCUGACAUAAAUCAGGCUUCUUAUAUGUCAGUACCAUUUGUUUGCUGCAAUAUGUGUCCAUCACUGUAAUAUGUUUCCUGCUAGAACAUUAACAAAAUAGCAAAGUGCAAGUGAGAAACAACUGACGGUAUGUCUUCUCUCAAAAGCAGACUUCAGAUGUCCAAAACGUUAUUAUCAACGUUAAAUUAUUGAUCAUUAUUGACCUUACCUGGAACCUGUAGAUUUCAUAAUGUGGAAUUAAGUGCAGUACAUGCAAGUGGGAAACAUGUUAAAUGAAUGCAGUUGUUUUCAGCUGGAGGAGGUUAGGAAAGUUUAGGGGGAGCUGAUGUAUGGAAAUAAAAUGUAAAAUAAUCAGUGUUUGCAGACGGCCAUAGCUUUUUCCAAUAAGUAAUUAAUAAGAUCUGAUGGGAAAUGAUUAUCUGUUGUUUUACUGUUGUAAAGACUGUUGUUAUUUAAUUAUAUGUAUGUAAUACUUGCAGUCUCUUAUAUACUGCUGUUUCUUUUAGAUAAGGCUGCAACUGACACUAGUUUUCAUUGUUAAUUGUUCCACCAAUUAUUUCCUCGGUUAAUCGUUUGGACUACAAAACAAAAGUGGGAAAUGCCAGAGUGUCCAAGAACAUGUGUCUUCAAAUGUCUUUUAUUUGUCAAACCAACCGUCCAAAACCCAGAAAUACUCAAUUUAUUAUAAUGUCAAAGCAAAGAAAAGCAGAAUAUUCUCAGAUUGGAACUUGGAACCGUUCCCUAAAACAAUUAAGUGUUUAAAAUAGUUGCAGAUUUAUUUUGUUUUGAUCAACUAAUUGUUGCAGCUCCACUUUUAACUGCAAACAUUCUGUUGAGAAAUAUGAUUUAACGCCUUUCAAGACUGCAACCUUGAAUCGAUAUAAACUUUAUCAUACAGACACAAACAAUUGGCUGAAUGAGUACAUUAAUAUUAUUUUCCAAAGUGGAAAAGGAUAUUAACAUUCUCACUGCAUCCUUUCUCUUCACCACUCGCCUACUUUAUCGCAGCGGCGUCGCUGACUGAUAGCUGAAUCAAACUGACACUGAACUGAUUAACGCUGAUGUCAGCACAUAAAAACACAGCACAGUGACUGAGCGGCAGCUCGUCAGCAGGUGUUUUUUUCUCUGUUCCAGCGUGCAGGGUUGUCACCGGCUGUACCGAACCUCGGAUCACACAGUUUGUCCUGGCAGAUAACCCCGACGACGACCCCUGGCCCUGUCAAGCCUCUCUAUCCAUCCCUCGGCCUCGUCCUUCCUCCAGAACAAACUGAACCCUCCACAAGCUCACACACAACUGUUGCUUCCAUGUUUCAAGGGUUGGUGGUCAUUUCUUUUCUGUCCCUUCUGUGUGGAUGAGAUGGCAGCAUGCAGAAAGAAGUGGAAUUUGACUGAUGACUUAAAGACAGAGGAGUAUGAUAGACAAACACCAGUGAAGUGUUUGGGGCAGAAUGAAAAAGUGAGCGUUAUCACUGAUGGAUCGGAUCAGCAUCGAGCUUUAAUUAGCGGUGGAAAGAGCCUUGGUCUGGACUAUCACCUGCUUGAAGAGUUUGUCCAACAUGUCGGACAGAGACUUGACCUCAGUCUGGAAGUUCUCCAUGAUUGUGGCGAUGGCGGGCUUCACCUGCUCCUGCAGGUUGGUGGCCUCGGCCUGGGCCUUGUCAACCAGAUGCUUGAUCUGUUCUCUAAGUCGUGCAGAAAGUAGAGGAAGCGACAAUCUUCUGUAAAUCACUGCUGCUGACUCUGACUUGUAUUUAAUAAAGAAAAAAAAGGAACUAAAACUGCCUGAAAAUGUAUUAGUGUGACUCUUAAGGAAAGUCUUUUGAGAAAACAGCUGUGAUUGACUACUAAUGGCUUCAAGCAGAGUGUAUUAUUUAUGCACAUGUAUUCAGUCCAGGUAUAUGUCACGAUAAUGUGGGGUUUUAUCUCAAAAACAACCCAUUUACUAUCCAAACUUCAAUAUAACCUUUUCAUCUUGAUAAUUAACUGAAAGUGAUAUAUUAAAAUAAAAAUAAUU